ACGAACUGUCCUAACGUUGUUCGGAAUCACUGGGCUUAAAGGGCGCGUAGGCGGUCCGACAAGUCAGGGGUGAAAUCCUGCAGCUUAACUGCAGAAGUGCCUUUGAUACUGUCGGUCUCGAGGGAGAUAGGGGUGUGCGGAACUUCCAGUGGAGCGGUGAAAUGCGUUGAUAUUGGAAGGAACGCCGGAGGCGAAAGCGGCGCACUGGAUCUCUUCUGACGCUGAGGCGCGAAAGCUAGGGGAGCAAACGGGAUUAGAUACCCCGGUAGUCCUAGCCCUAAACGAUGGGUACUAGAUUGUAGACUAAUCAUGGGUUUACAGUCGAAGCAAAAGUGUUAAGUACCCCGCCUGGGGAGUAUGGUCGCAAGGCUG
rnacentral:rRNA from 1 species